AGACCAUAGGUUUUUGAGAAAAGCUCUUUUGGUACCUACAUUUCUAGUUGUAUAAACCUGGAGAACUUAAAGAGCUUUACUGAGUCUCAGUUUUAUCAUUGGUAAAUGGAGACCAACUCCUACUAUAUUAGCAUUCUCUAGAGAGAGAGAACAAAUAGGGGAUAUAUAUACACUCACUUAAACACAUAUAUAUGUGUAUGUUUGUGUAUUGAGAGAGAGCGACCGAGCUAAGUUUAUUAUAUAAAUUGGCUCACAUGGUUAUGGCGGCUGAGGAGUCCCAGGAUAUGAUGUCUGCAAGUUUAAGAACCAGGGAGGCAGUGGAAUAAGUCCCAAAGUCUGAAAGUCUGAGAGCCAGGAGCACCGACAUCCAAGGGAAGGAGAAGAUGACCAUUCCAGCUUAAGAAGCGAGAGCAGAUUUGCACUUCCUCUGUCUUUUUAUUCCAUCCAGGCCCUUGGCUGAUUGGAUGGUGCCGCCCACAUUGGGGAGGGCAGAUCUUCCUGUCCCCUGAUUCAAAUUCAGUCCACUGAUUCAAAUGCCAAUCUCUUUGGGAAACACCUUCCCAGAAAUAAUGUUUUAAAGGAUCUGAUGCAUAGACUCCUUUUCUGGGUAUCUUUUUUAAGCCUAUCGAGCUGACACUUUUCUUUUUAGGAUCUAAGAGGAUCAAAUGAGACAAUAUUAGCCAGUGGCUUUUAAGCCGGUCUUUACAUCAGAAUCACCUGGAAGGCUUCUUAAGCAACACUGCUGGGCACUGCACCCAUCAUUUCUGUUUCAACAGGUUUGGGUGGGAGCCUUAGAAUCUGCAUGUCUUACAAGUUCCCAGGUGAGGCAGAAGCUACAGGUUCAGUGCCAUACUUUGAGAAUCACUGGCCUUGCCUACAGUGGGUUUUGAGUUUUCUAAUAUGGAAAGAUGACAUAUUUGUGGUUUUCAAACUUAUGCAUGAAUCAAAAUCACCUGAAGGCCUUGUUAAAACUGAUUUCUGGGCUUUAUCCCCAGAGUUGCUGACUCAGUAGGUCUGGGUGGGGCCAACCAUUUGCAUCUAAGAGUUCCCAGGUGAGGCUGAGACUCUAGGUCCGGGGCCGACCUUAUUAACAACACAUUAAGCUUUCGUAUUCAGGGUGUGCUCAGUGUACCAGCGGCAUUGAUGACACCUGGAGCUUGUUAGCACUACUGACUCUUGGCCAGUGCCAUACUUUGGGAACCACUGGCCUAGUCUACAGUGGGGCCCAGAUCAUGCUGGUUCCCUUUGCCUUUUCUUUCAUAGGUGUAUUCUGUUUGUUGAGAAUCUGGGUUCAAUGACAUUGAUUUACAUUGCUUGCUCUUUCAGGAUUGAUUUCAGUUUCCUUUCCUCUGAAGCUCAACAUUGAGCUUCUGUUGGGUGCUCUACUGAGUGGUUUACACACAAGGUAACCUGUCUCAUGUUUUUGCUGUCAGUCAUCCAGCCUGUGUCCCAUCGCUGCUCAGUGACAGAGAGACACAUACAAACAGUUACGGGAAGGAAUCUCAUUUUGCUUAAAGUUUCUUGUUCUUAAAGAAUUGUCAGUGAUGGAUGGCACUUUUCUGUGUAAACCCACAUGCUUCCUAGAUUAUAUCCAGAGAAUGAGGGAAAUAGAGAGAUCUACCAUUUUCCCACCCCUGUACACUGGCACUCAACAGAGUCAUUAAACUCCUUAAUCACACCAGGCUUCAUUUGCACUCUGAUUAGCAUAAGAUAGAAUUGAUCCUCGGGCCCAGGGCUUAGUAAAUCAGGUCCCUUAAGAGCCAGUGAGAAGGCGAGGGAACAGCACAGGGAAAAAUUAGUAAUAAUGAGAGGAAUGUAAAAUAGUUUUAUCACUGUGUGUCCUGAGAUGCUGAAAAUGCUGUUUGUUAGAAUCUUUGUUUACAUUUAGUAAACAAUUACCACCCCCGCCACCCCCAGAGAAACAGGGCAUCUCUAAUUAGAACCUCAACUUCUAAUUCAACUCAAGAAAUAUUUAUUGGGCCUGUGAGGCAAAGACGGUUAGGUCCCAGUUCCUGCCCUCAUAGGAUUUACUGUCUAAUAAGGGACAAACUCAGUGCCGUCACAAUGAAAUUAUUCUUUCAGCAGGUAUUUAUUGGGCAUAUACUAUGUGCUAGGCACUGGGAUGUGACCAAGAACAAGGGAUGAAGCUCAGGCUCUCAGCAAACUAGUUUAGACUUACCCAAAGACAGUCUUUCCCAAAAGGUGGUGUCACGUGGUCGAGGAGUUAGAAGGUAAGUUUGGGGCAUUCUCAAAUUUGAUACUAAAUAACCUUGAAUCACACAUUCAAGCCACUCGCUUCUUGAAAUCUGCAGUUAUCCCUAGUCCUAGGUAGCCCAUCUGAGGAUGGAUGCCACCUGUGAAAAAAUCCUAGGCAAUGAGAGGCUUCACCUAAUUUUGUCUGGAAAUGCUCCAUGAGAAAUGAAGGCACAAAGCAGGUAUUAAACAACACUCCUGUGCCCUGAAAAGGGGCAAUAAAAUGGAUGAAUUAAACAGCAUUUAUAAAUUUUAAAGUAUAUGUAUCUCAUGUGACAUAGGCAGGUUUUUUUCCUUCCAGACACAGUAAAAAUGCCACCCAAGCCCACGCUGAGCACCACUACUAGACACCCGCUGGAACCUUUCCUGAGUCCGUCAGUGAUGGGCUGAGUGGUACUGUGUGAUGGCAGGCUAGCUGCAGGAGGACGUUAAGGAGGGAUUUAACUUUCUGGUGUGGCCUGGCUGAUGGAGGGGAGAUGGGCACAGAUGGCAGCAAAUGCAGCUAUGAGACCCAUUCUCACCUUAAAGAGAAGUUUUAUGUCCUUUCUCCUAGUUUUUCAAUUGGCAGAUUCUGGUACUACUAUGCUGAAAAUGUGCCAGGAAAACUAUCUGAAAUUCAUGUCAGAAAGCAGAAAUUUAAGCACUCGUUGCUAAAGUUUUGGUUCUGUCCAGGUAACAGUUUAUUUGGGAUCACUUAGACUGGCCCAGCUGUCUCACCUGACCCUCCCUACCUGGAGCCAUUCAUAUUGAGCCUCCAUUAGCAGAGGUUCCCACAGUCUUGGGCCCUCGAGCUCCCUCAAGAGAUAAAACUACUCCUUUUGAUGCUGCAGGUUAGGUCUGUCUCAGAAGAGAAGUCUGGCAGGAGACUUGGGGAGUGAUCAUCACCCACAAAACUGCCAGUCAAGGUCCUAGAAACACAGCUAAGAGCUUCAUUAGUGUGCACAUGAGGGGCAAUGGCACAUGACUACACCAUCACAUGUAUGGCAGCUAUUGUGAAAGUUUCCUAGGAAAAACAGCUGUAUCCUCCGGGAACUGUUUUGGUGUCAAAAGUCCACAUUAACAAGGCAAUUUCUCAAGAAUUAGAGAAACUAGAGUUGAGGGGUGUGUCUGUGUAUGUGUGUGUGUGUGUGUGUGUGUGUCUGGUUCUGUCUGUAGUCUGCAGGCAGCUAAGACACCUAUUGAUUUGCUACAGAGAGAGGCAGCUGAGGCCAAGUUGGAGGGCACUUGCCCAAAGGCACAAAACUAGCCAGAGACAGACUGAAGGAUGAACAAGUGUGUAUGCUGCCUUCUCACCGAUCUUCAGUGCUCGAGACUCAGUGACAAAUAUUUGGAAACAGAGUCUUGCUCUCUUGCCGAGGCUGGAGUACAGUGGUGUAAUCUCAGCUCACUGCAACCACCACCUCCUGGGUUCAAGCGAUUCUCCUGCCUCAGCCUCCCGAGUACCUGGAUUACAGGCAUGUGCUGCCAUGCCCAGCUAAUUUUUGUAUUUUUAGUAGAGACGGGGUUUCACCAUGUUAGCCAAGCUGGUCUUGAACUCCUGGCCUGAGGCAGUCUGCCCGCCUCAGCCUCCCAAAGUGCUGGGAUUACAGGUGUGAGCCACCGAGCCUGGCCUUGUGCACUUCUUUGUAUGUUAAUUUUAAUUUUACAUUAAAUGUAAGCAGAUAUUGAACUGUUGCUAAUGAUAUGUAUGCUAAAGGCUUUAGAAAAAAGUACUAAUAUAUGAAAUUUAUUUGGAAAAACAAAAUACACAGAGGGAUGUAUAUUUAAAGAGCUGUGAUAAUGCAAAUAUAGUAAAAUGUUACAGGUAGACUCUAGGUGGUGGUUAUUCAAGUGUUUACUGUAAAAUUCUCUCCACUUUGCUGUAUGCCUGACAAUUUUCACAAUAAAAUGCUUGAGAAAAAUUGGCUGGAAUGUGAA